AUAAAUAAAAUCAGCUUCUUUAUGAGGUCACUGUGGGCAUAUUAGGCAGGAUAAUUCUUUGUUGUACUAGGUUAUCCUGCUCAGUGUAGGAUAUUCAGCAUCUCUGGCUUCUAGACACUAAAUGACAGUAGCGCCUCCCUCUUGUCAUUAUGACAAUCAAAAAUUUCCCCAAACACCCCUACAAGGGCUGAAGGGCUGCACUGUCCUCCUGAUUGAAAACCACUGGUAAUGGGAAAAAAAUAAACACAUCACUUCCAUAUCACACAAUACGAGGUUGGCUAAAUAUUUGUGUUCAUUGCUAUGGGAACACAGAAGAGGGGCACCUAACCAAAUCUGGUGGUUCUCACAGGCAUUUAAAUAAGGGUUAUUCCUAUCAAAAUAAUCCAAUAAUACCAUUCUAUUCAAAAUAUUUAAGAAAUUCUUUUCUGGAUUACUUUUAGAGCCUGAGUCAUGUUCUUUUGAAUUUGUUCAACGUAGGAAACUUUCUUCCUUUGGAAACAUCCCAAAGUUGCUUGUAGCCAAGUCUUGUGAAUAAGAUGAGUGAACAAGCUGGACAAUAUUAUUUUUAGUUCUAUAGGUCAAAGGUCUGACACAGAUAUCAGUGGACGAAAAGUGAAGUGUCAGCAGGACUGCAUUUUUUCUGGAAGACUAUAGAUAACAAAUGUAGGAGGAAGAAAUUGAGGGACUCAUGGAACAUCCAAGAGGACAUGUGAAGUGACCAGUUUGAAUAUCCUGGAGUUCGAGAGAGAUGUGCGGGCUGGAGAUACAGAUUUAAGAGUCAUCAAUACAUAAGUGAUUCUUGGAGUUACAGGAAUUGAUGAGACCAGGCAGGGAAGAUGUAUGUGUAUCAUUUGUGUGUUUUCCUUUCUAGUUAUUUUCUUCUAAUAUAUCUUUAAUUAUAAUAAUCAGGUGUACAUAAUUUUCCUUUUCCUUUUUGUAUUUGACAUUAUACCAAAAGCUUUUGUCAUGUUUCACAGAGUUUUCAAAGCAGACAUACCAGUGGCUGAAUAAAAACACAUCAAAGGAUAUGCUAUAGUUAUAGUUGACUUUAGUUCUGAUAAACAUUUUUAUUCAUAGUUUUCCCCCCACUUUUUUUUUUUUUUCUCCUUAGGACAGAUUCUCAGAAAUGAGAAUAUAUUUGUCUGUUAUAUAGGUAAUAUGUGUUAUACAUGUAUAUCCAAAUUACAUUCCAAACUGGUUGUACCAGUUUUUCCUUUAUACAAAACAAUGCAUAAGAAUACAAGUUUAGAGGAGGCUGGCUGGCUCAGUGGGUGGAAUGUGUGACAUUUGAUCUUGAGGCUACAGGUUUGAGCCCACAUUAGGUGUAGAGAUUACUUAAAAUUAAAUUGUAUUAAAAAAUACAAGUUUAACUAGGUACUUGCCAUAAUUUGGUAUUAUAUA